rnacentral:rRNA from 1 species
UACGUAGGGGGCAAGCGUUGUCCGGAUUUAUUGGGCGUAAAGCGCGCGUAGGCGGCUUUGCAAGUCGGGUGUGAAAUCCCCAGGCUUAACCUGGGAACUGCAUUCGAGACUGCAUUGCUAGAGUAUGGGAGAGGGAAGUGGAAUUUCCGGUGUAGCGGUGAAAUGCGUAGAUAUAGGAAGGAACACCGAUGGCGGCAGGA